GAUGAACGCUGACAGAAUGCUUAACACAUGCAAGUCAACUUGAACUUCGGUUUGGGUGGCGGACGGGUGAGUAACGCGUACAGAACUUGCCUCACAGCUAGGGACAACAUUUGGAAACGAAUGCUAAUACCUGAUAUUAUGAUUUUAGGGCAUCCUAGAAUUAUGAAAGCUAUAUGCGCUGUGAGAGAGCUUUGCGUCCCAUUAGCUAGUUGGAGAGGUAACGGCUCACCAAGGCGAUGAUGGGUAGCCGGCCUGAGAGGGUGAACGGCCACAAGGGGACUGAGACACGGCCCUUACUCCUACGGGAGGCAGCAGUGGGGAAUAUUGGACAAUGGACCAAGAGUCUGAUCCAGCAAUUCUGUGUGAACGAUGAAGUUUUUCGGAAUGUAAAGUGCUUUCAGUUGGGAAGAAAAAAAUGACGGUACCAACAGAAGAAGUGACGGCUAAAUACGUG
rnacentral:rRNA from 1 species